GCAGUGGGUAGCUGAGCUGGUUAGAGCGUAGUGCUGAUAACGCCAAGGUUGCAGGUUUGAUCCCUGUAUGGGCCAGCUGCA
rnacentral:tRNA from 1 species